rnacentral:rRNA from 1 species
CAUGCCUAACACAUGCAAGUCGAACGGAAACGACGAAAACAAUCCCUUCGGGGUGCGUCUUCGGGCGUCGAGUGGCGGACGGGUGCGUAGUGGUAGGAAUCUGCCUUAUGGUGGGGGACCAAUCUUGGAAAGUGGGACUAAUAGAGGUACUCGUUAUAAGGGAAAGCAGGGGAUCUUCGGACCUUGUGGRUAAUCUAUGAACCUGGGGCUGAUUAACUUGUUGGCUAGGGUAAUGGCCUGCCGAGGCGACAAUGCGCUACUGGUCUGAGAGGACGACCCUGCACUGUGGGGCUGAGACGCCGCCCUGACUCCUACAGGAGGCACCAAUGCGGAAUAUUGGACAAUGGGGGCAAUCCUGAUCCAUGAAUGCCGCGUGGGUGAAGAAGGGCUUAGGGUUGUAAAGCACUUUCAGGGUGGAAAAAAUGUUUGUAGUUAAUAACUGCGCGUCUUGUCAGUACCUACACAACAUGCACCGGCUAACUCCGUGCCCGCCGCCUCGGUAAUUGCGAGGGUGCAAGCGUUAAUCGAAGUUGCUGGCCUUAAUCCGAACUUCGGCGGUUAUAUAAGUCGGAUGUGAAAGCCCUGGGCUCAACCUGAAAACUGCAUUCCAUACUGUAUACCUAAUUUUUGGUAGAGGGAAUUGAAUUUCCUCAUGUAACGGGGAAUUGCAUAUAUAUGUGGAGGAUCCCAGUGAUGAGGGCGACUUCCUGUACCGAAAGUGACUUUGAGGAGCGAAACCGUGGCUAACGAACGGGAUUAUAUACCCUGGUAAUCCUCACCUACAACGAUGUCCACUAGCCGAUGCGAGAAUUUGUCCCUUAUUGGGGAAUCUAACGCUUUAAGUUGCCGUGUGGCGAGUACUUGCGCACUAUU